UUUUUUUUUUUUUUUUUUUUUUUUUUUUUUUUUUUUUUGUAUUUCUAUGGACUUCAUAUGUGGAACUCUUCUAAAAAUAUUUCUUUAUGAAUAAAUUAUAUUUGAAAGUAGAUAUGUGUCAUAGAUAUAAAUUUACAAAUCACCGUUUACAAAAAAAAAAUGUUAGCGAUUCAAAGUUUUACUGUCUCUUCAAAAAUUUCAGUUUCUACUUCAUUUUUAAAAAUUCAUAACUCUUUCGUUACUUGGCAUUUUUAUACAAAGCCAAUGGCAUUGGAUAGCCUCAUAAGUUAGCUACUGAAACUUGGAAUCAUGUCAAUCCGAUAUCGGUAGAAUUUUUUAUGUCACUUAAGGUAAACUGCAUUACCUAGUGAUGUUGUUUUCGAUCUUCUGUCUUGACAUCAAAAACUCAUAACUCGACCGUUACUUGGAAUUUCUGGAUGAAACCAAUUGGAUUUGAUAGUUCAUGGAUUAGCUACUAUAUAAAUUUGAAAUCAUGUGGUUUUGAUGUCUGUGAAAUUUCAUAUGUCAUUUUAAGUGAACUGCACUGGUUUACCUUUCAAACGGGUGACACUACUGGGUUUUGAAAAAUAUUUUAAUACUUCAUAUGAUGUUGAUGGAAGCUAAUUUUUGACUAUAUCAUAUUAUAAGGAGUUUCCUACUUUACAUUAAAAUUUGAUGAAGUUUCGAGUCGCUAGCUAUGUGAACAAAUUUAUUUUGACAAUUACCGUUUGAGAUAAAAACUAAAACAGCAACAUUACUUUUAAAGUUUUGCCAAAAAUUUACGUCAAUAAUCGUUACAUGCAUGGAACCCAAUCCAAAAAUAUUUUUGAAAUUGUUUUCUUUUAGUAUUGAAUUAAAAUUUAAAAUUUAAUCUUUAUACCUUCCACUAAAAAUAUCGUUAAUUAAUUUAUAGCUCUUUACAGUUAAUCUAGUGACAUUUAGAUCCAUGCGGGUUGGGGCGUUACAGGAUCUACGUGUUAUGAUAAUGCUCUAGAAAUUAGAUUUUUUAGAAAUCCAUUUACAUGCGACGGUAUGAAUCUACAGUUCGGAUUAUCUAAUUUGAUUACAAAAUGCACAAAUGAUAUCUAUUAAGUUUCAAACUCAUAGAUUAAUUCCCUUCCUACAAGUUAAUUUGUUUUGUUUGGGAGCGUGGAUGAUGGUAGAUGGAGAUGCAAGAUGCCACGGAGAAGCCAGUGAUUUAAUGUCUUUAAUUCAAUUAUAAAAUGUUUACACUUAUUCUUUUAAAUAGAUUUCUAUGGAUGUGUUCUAGAAAUUAACUUACAAAACACCAUUUACAAAAAAAAAAAAAAAAAUUUUUUUUUUUAGAAAAAAAAAAAAAAAAAUUUUUUUUUUUAGAAAAAAAAAAAAAAAAAUUUUUUUUUUUAGAAAAAAAAAAAAAAAAAUUUUUUUUUUUAGAAAAAAAAAAAAAAAAAUUUUUUUUUUUAGAAAAAAAAAAAAAAAAAUUUUUAAAAAAAAAAAAAAAAAAAAAUGUUAGCAAUUCAAUGUUUCUGUUUCUUUAAAAUUUCAGUUUCUAUCUUGACUUUAAAAAUUCAUAACUCAAUUGGUACUUGAAAUUUUUAGACAAAAUGAGUGGCGUUUGAUAUAUUCAUAGGUUAGCUACUAAUUUGGAAUUAUGUCAAUCCGAUACCGGUAGAAUUUUAUAUGUCAAUUAAAGCAAACUGCAGUGGAUAGUGUUGUUCUUUUCAGUUUCUACCAUUGGUUUCAAAAAUUCAUAACUCAAUUGUUACUUGAAAUUUUUAUAUGAAACCAAUGAGAUUUGAUAGUUUCAUGAAUUAGCUACUGAAUAAAAUUGAAAUCAUGUUGUUUUGAUGUCUGGUGGAAUUUUAUAUCAUUAUAAGUGAACUGCACUGUAAAUACCUUCAAAUUGAGUCGUUGCAAGGUUUUGAAAAAAUAUUUUAAUAACUCAUAUGUUAUCGACGAAAGUCAAUUUUUGAAUAUAUUUUAUCAUAAGGAGUUUCCUACUUUACCUUAAAAUUUCAUGAAGUUUCGAGGCCAAUAGCUAUACAUAUGAACUUAUUUGACACUUGCCCUACGAUAUAGAAUAAAAAAAAUAUAGCUUUGUUUUAGUUAUUGUUAGUGGGGUUUUGAAAAAUAUUUUAACAUCUCAUAAGUUACCGGUGGAAGCUGAUUUUUGGAUAUGUCAAGUUUCGAGAUUGAUAACUUUGUAAACGAAUUUAUUUUAACAUUUUUUCAUUUGAGAAAGAAAAGUAAAAUAGCAUAUUUAUAUUUUCUACCUAAAAUGUUAACAUCAAUGGUACAUGCAUGAAAGUCACUCCAAAGACGUUUUUGAAUUUGUUUCCUUUAAAUAUUAUAUUGUGUUGUGUUCUUAGUAUAAAUUAUAUAGAUAUAUAAUACUUAAGUAAAUUUUAUAGUAAUUGUUAUAUUAAUAUUAUGUCCAGACUAAGGUACAAUUGUUCAAGUAAUUUUUCGGUUCGUACAAGUUAGGGCGUUACAGUUGUUGGUUACCUUCCUCUCUUAUGAGGACUGAGCUGAUAACCUUUCUAGAAACGUCCAAAUAUCGCAGUAAAAACUCAUCGACCUUAGGCUUGAAAGGGAAUGGGACCUAACUGUGAUUUUUUAGCUCGUGAAAGGCUGUUUGCCCUCCUCUAAUUACUGCAAUUUCUCUCUUUGAGUAUCUUAAAGAAGAAGUAAUUGUCGAUGGCCUUUCAAACAUAGGAUUCAGGGCUGCCAACUGUUCCAUGAGGUUCUGUAUCUCCUUUGGCUUUUGAGGUCACCACAUUUUCACCAAAGCCUUUGAUCUUUUCGAGUUUGGCUUCGAUGCCUCUUUUGGUUGACUACGUAACCUAACCUUUUCAAAGGCGACGCCAAAGGCACACUUAGGAGGUUCAAUCUCAUCAUGUACCUCCUUAAAAUUUGGAAAGUCAUAUCUAGGUGCUUGACAUGAUUCUUAGUCUAUAGGUUUUGACUAGAAUGUCAUCCACACAUACUUCUAUUGUUCAUCUUACUUACAACCUCUGCUAGGUGACUCUAACAUUUUUCAACUGGAAUGACAUCACCUUUUAGUGGUAAAGGCCCCUACCAAUGAUGAAGGAAUAGUGCUCCUCAGUCUCCGAGAUAGAUGGAGAUUUGGUUGCAACCAGAAUAUGCAUACAUGAGGCUCAACAGCUCAUGCCCUUCUGUAUAUUCUAUAAACUGGUCUACUUAGGGCAGAAGGAAGCUAUCCUUGGAAUAAGCUUGGUUAAAGUUGAAAAAGUCUAUGCAUACCCUCCAUUUGUCAUUAUAUUUCUUCACAAGGGCUAUUAGGCUUUCCUAGUGAAGCCAUUGGCUAUUAGCUUCUCCACCUCUUUUUUUAAUGUUUUCUCUGGGUUGAGGGUUUUCCACUAUUAUCUAUGCAAAGUAAACUUAGGAUAAAUCUUUAGGUGGUGAUAGCUUACUAUUGGGUCGAUGCCAACCAUAUUUUCACAAUUACAAGCGAAGAUGUCCAUGUUUUUGCAUUGAAUGUUUUUUGGCUUUUCCUUUGACAUGUCUUUUCCAACCUAUAUGACUUAGUGGGAUCUUGAGGAUCCACUUAAAAGCUUUUCAGCUCUUUCACUAGAGCCAUUUGUACGGAUGGCAAUGCUCGGCUUGGCCCUUUAACCCACGAGCUCGGCGAGCCGACCUCGAGUCGUUGCUCGAUGACGAGCUCGACUCGGCCCAUGAGCUCACAGGACGAGCCGAGCCCACGAGCCGCUCGCGAGCUCGUGAUUUUUUUAAUUUUUUUUUUGUAAAUGUACAUAUUUUUUUAUGAGCUCGUAAAAAAUGGCUCGUGGGAUUGAACCCCCUGCUUGAAAAGCCCAAGCCACCCACGAGCUGAGUUUUAACAAGCCGAGGGGCCAAGUCGAUGAGCCGCUCAGCCUGUUUUACACCCUAGCCAUUUGUGAAUCAAACCCGGUGAUGUAUAGAACCAGUUCUUCAUAUAUGGCCCCUUCUUCCUCUUCCUUUAGGUACAGUGCUUUUACCAUCUUGACAUCUUCUCCUUGUUCAAGAGUCUUCUUUCUUUAGGGUGUCGAUCAUCUCGAUGUCAACUAUCACCAUGUUGACCUUACAAGGAGCUGCUUUCCUUAGGGAGUUCAAGUAACACUCCCAAACCUCCGUUGGCUGCCCUUGAUGGUGACAAUGCCAUUUUUAGUGAAAAAAAUUCAUACAUAGGUGAUAUAUAGAUGUGAUAGCCUUCCUUCAAGGCAUGUCUUCCAAAACUCCAUGAUAGUGUUACCAUAAGGAAUUCCAUAUAACGACGUGCCACCAAUGGGAUGUCCUCCUAUUUCGACCGCAAGAGUAAUGUAACCUCUUAGGAUGAUGCUAUUAUCUAUGAACCCAUAGAAUGGAGAGGUAAUGGGAAUGAGCUCAUGGUUCACUAGCAUUUAGUCGUACGUGGCUCCAAAAAUCAUGUUGACAAAACUUCAAUUGUCCAUUAACGCUUUAACCCAUUGUGAGCUAUAAUUGCCCUUACUACUAGGGCAUCACAAUAGGUAUAGUUUACACACACCAUAUCUCCCUCGAAGAAGGUGAUUAGCUCAACCAUCCUUGCACUAAAGCGUUGAUUAAUGACUAUGUAGCUAGUAAAUGGGGUCCCUAGCCAAUCUUGCACAGUUCUUCUGGGCAUUUUUUGGACUUCUAGGAGUACAUCUAGUCUCUUUCUGCCUAGGCUAUUCAACUUAUCUCGACUGGGACGAAUUCCUAUAGAAGGCGAUCUCUCCUAGGUAAACGGGGUUUACUCCGUUAUGUGGGAAUUGCUAUGUUUCUACAGCUACUAGUGUUGUGACUCACAUCUAAUGGUAAAAAUAGUAAGUCCCUAAUGGGUCUCCUAGGCCUCUUUCCUUUGGCGUCUUAAGCAACUAGUUGUUGGGAGAUGACUUCCUAAUUUCCAUAGCCAAAAGGUUAGCAUCAUCAUAGGCUAGGACCGAAACAGCAUUUAGGAUGGUCGUAUUAUAGACUUACUAUGAGGUGGGGAUGAUGUGACGGGGGCUGGAUCCAUUGAUAAUUCACCAGGUGAGAGGUAGGGCCUCCACCUCUUUACCUCUGAGGAGGAAAUAUUCAUAGCUACUUGAUUUUGGUGUCCAAUCAUCUCUUCGUUGACUAUUUCAUCCUUCAUCGGCUCUACCAACUGGUUAUAAAUGGUAGAAUUUUUGUUGCGAAUUGUAAGUAUUAUACCCUAGAUCCAAUCAACCUUAGAUAUAAAUACUUUUAAUAUAUAAUUAAUACAAUUUUAUGGCAGAUCUAUUAUUUAAUUAUUAUUCAAUUAAAUUCAAUAAUAGAGCCCGUAUAUUCAAAUCUUGGUAUUUGUUAAUCACAAAGAGUUGUGAUUGUGAAAUAUAAAUUACAUAUGAUUGAAUUUUAAAUCAUCCGUGGUCGUAAGUUGUGACGAGAUAUAGAUAUCGUUAUUAUGGUUAGACCAUCACGUGUGAUAUUUCUUAUUUAUGGAGUAAGUAGCUGAUCUCAUAAGUUAAAGUGUGGUGACACUUAAAUGAAUACGUAGAUGUUUUGUUAUAAAACAAAACAUUCGAGACCCGCUGAAAGAUUCUAUAUGGAUAAAUAUCUGAGUGUCAGUGGUUAAUCUCUAACAUUCGGUAGUGAAAUUCGUCCUUUGACUUAAGGUCGUCAUAGUACCUCAUAUGAAGACAAUCAUGCUUCGACAGUGUUGGAUGUUCCUCUACCAAAUGCGACUAAUACGGCAUCGUUCGGGUAUGUCAAGAAUCGUAUGAAGGUUAUGAAUGACCAAUAGAGGAUUCGUCACUCUUAGAUAGUAAGAGAUUAUGAUCUGCAUUUCAUUCAAUUAAGUUGAUAACGAAAUCCUUGGCCAAUGUGUACUCACAAGUCGAAAAGGAGUUUUCGAAGUAUAUUGACUUAAUAGUGGAGUGAAAGAUGUGAUCGAUAAUCGAGAUUGAUACACUUCCAUAUUUCGUAAUUGAUCGAAUCAUAUUGACAAAGGGCUUAUAGUUUCACGAUAAACGAAUAAGUUUGAUUUUGUCAUACCACGUGAUAUUUCUCAUCACAUGUUUGUCUUCACACAUUGCUAGAUGUCAAUUUGGGAUGACGAGUGUAAAUUAGUGAUAAAUUAAAAUGAUGUUUUAAUUUAUCAAUUUUGAUUAAAUCAAAAUAAUAUUUCACGUCGUUAGAUAUCAUGAUCGAGAAUCUGAUGGAUCACACACAAAAGGAGAACUAAAAGAUUGUGAUUUGUCAAUUAAUUAAUUUAAUAAGCGUUGGAUAAAUUAAUUAAUUGGGUUGCUUAUUUAUAGGCCUGAAUUAAUUAAUUCACAGACCGAAUUUAAUUAAAAGGGUUAAUUAAAUAUUGGACAGAGUCAAGUCAAGCCCGUUCGAGCUUAUAUAAAUAAAUAUAACUAGGAUUUUCAAAAUCUGUAGAGAAUUCAUUAUUCUUGCUAGUACAUGAAGAAAAUCAUAAUCCUACAAUUUUGUUCUCUGUGUGGAUCAUCGUUGGAGGCUGGACAAUUGGACGGCUGUGGGAGGCAGAUCAAGAUUGCUGGAACAAAGAAAAAGCAAAGGUGUUUGUAGAUCUAGAAAAUGUAUCACUUUCAUCAUAAUUUCUCUAUAAACACAAAAAGAUCCAUGGUGGGAAUCGAAAAUUAUUUUAAUUUUUCGUUGCGCAUGUUAAAUAGAUUCCCAAAAAUGAUAUCAGAGCCUACUUUGUAUUUGUUAGGAAUUGAUUUGCAUGAUUGAGUAAUCAAAUAUUGAUUGUACAUAUUUUUCUUGUUUUUAGCAAUUGGAAAAUUUGACUUUCGAAUUAAUUUAAAAUAACAAGGAAAAAUUGGUUUUCAUAUUUCAAAAUCUGAUUUUGAAAAUAAAAAAAGGGUAAAGGUCGAACCGGUAGCGCGCGCUUCGCAGCGGUGCAGACGCCGCUGUGACUUGCAGCAGCGUCGUAGCCAUUGCUACCUGCAUACAGCAACGUCUCCACAUUGCUCUAUGCAAGCGACAAGGAGCUGCCGAGUAGCUCCCUGCCGCAUUUGUAUUGGCGGCUCCGCUUGAGAGAUUUAAAAAAAAAAAAAAAAAGCUUUCUACAGUCUGGUGAAAGAGAAUGGGUUAGGGGGGCCUCAACUAUAAUUUAGGAAAUUGUACGCCUCUUGGUGCAAUUAUAAUAAAAGGGGUCAAUGUGUAAUUUUAAAUGGAGGGCUGUUGUGCUAUUUUGUAAUUUCGAGGGUCCCCCAUUAAUUUGAAACUUGGGUCAAAUUGUAAUUUUCAAAAGGUGUUUUGAAUUUAAGUAUUAAAAUGGUUCUUAAAUUGAUUUUAAAUGGGUUUUGACCUAUAUUAUUAAUUUUUACCCAAAUUAAAAUUUUGUUUAAAGUUGACGACUUUUUAUAUUUUCGUUAAAAUUGGAUUUUAACUUAAAUAUUAGACUUUGACUACUAAUUGAAUUUUAUUUUAUUUAGGAGUUCUAUUCUAAAUUAAAAUAUUAAUUCAAUUUAAAUUAAAGUUAGACUCUAAUUCAAUAUUUAAUUAAAAUUUGAUUUAAUUAAUUAUUCACCCUAAUAUGUUCUUGAAAUUAGAAUUGGAUUCUAAUUUGUAAUUUAAUUAAAUUGUUUCGCCCUAAAAUCUUUUUUGGAAUUGGAGUUGAACUCUAAUUUGACAUUUAAUUAAAAAUGUGAUUUUAAUUAAAUAAAUUCGCCCUGAAAUCUUGGAAUUAGAGUUGAACUCUAAUUUUGUUAUUUAAUUAAAAUUUAAUUUUGAUUAAAUUCGACCGCUUCAAAUUUUGAAAUUAGAGUUAGACUCUAGUUUGAUAUUUAAUUAAAUUUUGAUUUUAUUUAACAGUCUUGACCUAUAAUUGUGGAAUUUGAUUUGGACUCUAAUUCAGUAUUUAAUUAAAAUUUGAUUUUAAUUAAAUACGUUCACUAAUUAAAUUAAUUGAUUAAUAUGAUUAAUUAAUUAUUUAAUUGUUCCAAUCUAUUUGUUUAAAAGAGUUUAGAUGACCUUAAUUACUAGAAACUUGAAACGUGUUUGCAUAUAAUAUUAGAUGUUAUAUAGGCAUACAUUUAAGUGAUGAAUGUAUUAUUAGUGGACGAUUAUGGAUUCGACCAUGUGAAUGUGUUGAACGGUUAAUUUUAUUCUCGAUAUUUUAUGAGUCUGCGAGCUCUUAAUUGUUUUGGGCCGAGAGCUUGUUAUUAUCGUUAUUAUUAUGGGUCUGUGAGAUAUUAAUCAUUUUGGACCUAAGAGUCCAUUAUUGUUAUUGUUACUACGUGCUUGUGAGUCCAAUUUCAUUUAGGCUUACGUGUCAACUAGUAUAUUAUACAUAUUGCAACUGGACUAAUUGAAGAAACAAAAAGAGUAGAAGACCAUGGAGAUGGAGCAUUGAUAUUGAUUCAAUGCUAUACCCCCUAGGAAUUGACCAACUAAUCUUCCUUAUAGCUUGGGAAGACUAGAUAGUAAAAAUUCAUAAUCGUCCACAUUAUUAUUAUUAUAUUAUAUAUGUUUAUUUGCAUGUUUGAUGCAUAAUAAAUUAUGUAUAUGAUUAUAUCGAUAUUGAUGAGACAUUUGAAUGCAAAAACCACUCAACAAAAUAUUAAGUUAAUUUAUUAUUUACCUUCAAUCAUUAUAGCGAAAAAUCAGAGUCCCAAAUCGUCUUAACUUGUUGAGUACACUCAAGGCUGGUCUAUUAGGGAUAUAUCUGAUACUAUGAAAUAUUAAGAUAAAUUUUAGAGGCAUGUUAAACUAACACGUAAGAUGUGUGAAGACAAAGAGUUGUCAGUUUAAUGAUUUAGGAGUUGUAUGGAGAUACAAUUGAUAAUAAUAUCUAUCUAAAUGUUAUAUUAAGGUUUGUUGAGUACACUCAAUAUCUUGGUAUAACAAAUGGGAUCCGAGCCCACUGGGAGUCGAGUAUGGACUCCAUAAAUUUAUGUAAGAGGAUUAUAAAUUUGAAUUAAACAGUGUGAUCAUAAUUAAUUUAAUAAAAAUCCAUGUUAAAUUAAUUGAUGCAUUUUAUAUAUUAUUCUUUUUCUUUUCGUCAUUUAUGUUUAUUGAAUCGUGAGUAACCAUGUGUAGUUGAGUGGGAUACUGCAUGCCAACAACCAAAUUAAAUCUUCUUGAUUAGCACGGUAACUUGAAAAUUGUUCUCAGGCAUGAGAAAUUUCAGUGGUUACAUCCUUGAGUAGCCCUUUCCAAAGACAGCUGCUAAUGACUCGAUUAAGGAAGAUGUGACUAUUGUAAUAAACACAGUGAUGACGAUAGUAUUGUACACAUGUGAUGCUUGCAACUAUGUGACAUGAGUUACAAAAGCAACUUAAAGUAUAGAUGUUAACACGUAAUUCUUCAUUAUAAAGAGUUGUAUGAUAAUAAUCAUAUGUGAAAGGAUAUGAGACUUCCAAACAAUUAUACCGGUGCAAAAUGAUAGAGCAAUCUUCGAUCGGUGCUCAUGUACUUCAUUGUCAUUGAGAGGUUCAUGAACUACGAACUAAGUAUUGACUUAGCUCUGCAAUCUCUGUCAGAGAGUUAUUCAUACUAAUUAUGAAUUACGAUAUGAAUAAGUUCGAACGCACACCCAUUGAGUUGCUUAACAUGCUUAGGACUGUUAUGCCCAAUAUCAAAGUUAGAAGUGAGCAAACCAUUGAUUCAUCUAAGGGUAUUAAGAGGAACUCUAAAGGGGCUUUUGGGAAGCAUCCAAUAUGGCUGAAACGGUCAAAGCGAAUGACAAAUGCCAAGUCUAAUAACCCUUUCUUUCAUUAUAGAAUGAAAGGUCAUUGGAAGAAAUAUUGCAAGGCUUACGUCUACUUCAUGAGUUUCUUAGGUAUUGGAUACCAAAUAUGGAUCUCAUAUUUAUACAAAUAUGGAGAAACUAAAUAGAAAUAGACCAUUGCAAGAGAGAGAAGUUAACAUACACGUUGAAAAUGAACAAAGAUUGCUGCAUUGCCUGUAGGAGCAUAUUUCUUGUCGUUGCCUUUUGGCUUAGUAUUGAAAUUAGAGAAAUGUUGCUUUAUAUCCACUAUAACUGGAACAUUAAAAUGAAUUUAAUAUUCAGACAUGAACUAUUUUAAUGUUAAGGACACUUGUUGUUCUUGCUUAAAAUCUUAAUGGUUAUCGUAAGCUACAAAAAUAAUAUUUAUAUUCUAAAUACUAAUCAUUUUGGGGUCAUGUACUGAUUGCAUUGUGCUGCACACUAAAUCAUGUCCCAUCUAAAUUAGUUAAUAGAACUUCAUACGAGCUAUGGAAAGGCAAUAGUCCUAAUUUAUCUCAUAUGAAAGUUUGGGACUGUGACGCUUAUGUGAAGUGCAUUAAAUCGGAGAAGUUUGAGACUAAAUCUGAUAAAUACAUAUUUGUGGGAUAUCCAAAAAGAUAUUUGGAUAUAAAUUCUAUUAAUCCAUUGAGAUGAAAAUUUUCGUCUCACGAUAUAUCAUCCUCCUAGAGAAAAUGUUUACUUUAGGACAGUGAGAGCAAAAUAGAACGUAAAAGAGUUCAAGAAUCCACAGAUAUAGUUAACCAAGUAAAUGAAUCCGAGUUUGAUCCCAUAUCUGAUGUGGAAUAUACUCUUGAUCAGAAAGUAGAGACUCCUUACAUGUCAACUUUGUGUGAAUCUAGUAGGAUCAUUCAACCUUCAAGAAGGUGUGAAUCCAUGAUUACUAAUCAGGCAUUGUUGAUCCAGGAUGAUGAACCUACUAAUUGCACAAAAAAAUAAAGUCAAGUGUUGACUUAAAAGAAAUAACAAGAGGUCAUGAAAUCCGAGAUGAACUCGAUAUAUGUAAACAAAGUUUGGACCUGGAACAACCCUCCUGAUGGGAUAAACCUAUCGGUUUAAAUGGUUUACAAUAAAAGGUUAACAUGAAUGGGAAUAUCCAUACAUACAAAACAACGCUAGUAGCAAAAGGUAACAAAUAAAGACAAUGUGUUGACCUUGACGAAACAUUUCUCCUAUAGUCAUGCUAAAGUUCAUUCGAAUUUUGAUUGCAUUAGUUGCAUAUCGUGACUAUGGGUUAAAACAAGUAUCUUGGAGCUGAAAUCUUCGAUUUGAUAGAAAAAUCAAAAUGUUUGAUUUUAUCAAAUAUGAAGAUGAAUUGUGUGUUUACAAGAAGAUAGUGGGAGCAUUGUUGCAUUCCUAAUAUUAUAAGAAACUACAUCCCCAUGUGUUCAAUCGUUGAAAUAAUGAUUGUUAAUGGAUAUAUUCAUGAAUAUGGGAGAAGCAACUUGAUCUAUAGAGAUAGGUCUAGAAGAUUGCUUUGUUCAUCCCAAUCUAUAUAGAUAAAAUCUUGAGAAAUUUUAUAUGAAGAAAUUGAUUUACUCUUUAACGGUGUGUUGGAAAGGUUCCAAACAUGAAACAAUUGUUGAUUCAAUAACAAUAACCUAAUACACGAUUGCUUCAAAAGCAUCAAGAAGUUGCAAUAUGGAUCAAGAUGUUCAUUAAUGAACUUGGUGUAGUUCCUAACAUUGUUGAUCACAUCCAAUAGUAUUUUGAUAACAAUAGAACCAUGGCACAAGCGAAGGAACUAAGGUAUCAUCUCAACGAAGAGAUAAUACAAAUAAAUGACCUAAAGAAUAAACAAAUUCUCACAAUUGACAAUAGUGCAGAUCCACUGACAAAGAGUUUUCGCAGCAUAAACAUGAUCGUCAUGUAAACUCUUAUGAUAUUGGAUACAUAAGUGAUCUAGUGUAAGUGGGAGUUUGUAAGUGUUAUGCCCUAAAUUCAAUCAACCUUGGACAUAAAUACUUUUAAUUAUAAUUGAUGCAAUUUUAUGGCAGAUCUAUUAUUUAAUUAUUAUUCAAUUAAAUUAAAUAAUAGUGUCCAUAGAUUCAAAUAAUAGUGUCACAAGAAGUUGUGAUUAUGAGAUACAAAUUACAUAUGAUUGAAUCUCAAAUCAUUGGUGAUCGUAAGUUAUGAUGAGAUACGGAUAUCGUUAUUACGAUUAGACCAUCACAUGUGACAUUUCUUAGUUGUGAAGUAAGUGGCUGAUCUUACAAACUAAAGUGUAGUGACACUUAAGUGAACACGUUGAUGUUUUGUUAUAGAAUAAAACAUUAAAGACCCGCUGAGAGAUUUCACGUGGAUAACUAUUUAAGUGUCAGUGGUCAAUCUCUAACUUUCGGUAGUGGGAUUGGUCCUUUAACAUGAGGUCGUUAUAGUACCUUAUAUGAGGACAGUCAUGCUUUAACGGUGUUGGAUGUUGUUCUGCUAAAGGCCGCUAAUACGGCAUCGUUCGGGUAUGUCAAGAAUCGUAUGAAGGUUGUAAAUAACCAAUAGAGAAUUCGUCACUCUUAGAUAAUAAGAAAUUAUGAUCUACAUUUCAUUCAAUUAAGUCGAUAACGAAAUCCUUGGUCAAUGUGUACUCACAAGUCGAAAAGGAGUUUUCAACUUAUAUUGACUUAAUAGUGGAGUGAAAGAUAUGAUUGAUAAUCGAUCUUGACACACUUCCAUAUCUCGUAAUUGAUCGGAUCAUAUUGACAAAGGAAUUAUAAUUUCACAGUAAACGAACGAGUUUGAUUUUGUUAUAUCACGUGAUAUUUCUCAUCACAUAUAUUGCCCUGACACACUGCUAGAUGUCAAUCUGGGACGGCGAGUGUGAAUUGGUGAUAAAUAAAAAGUGUGUUUUAAUUUAUCAAUUUUGAUUAGAUCAAAAUAAUAUUCCACGUCGUUAGACAUUGUGAUUGAGAACCUGAUGAGUCGUACACAAACGAAGAACUGGAAGAUUGAUUUGUCAAUUAAUUAAUUUAACAAGAGUUGGUUAUAUUAGUUAAUUGAGUUACUUAUUUAUAGGCCUGAAUUAAUUAAUUUGAUUAAUUAAUUCACGGAUCGAAUUUAAUUAAAUGAGUUAAUUAAAUAUUGGACCAAGUCAUGCCAAGCCCGUUCGAGCUUAUAUAAAUAUGAUUAGAAUUUUCAAAAUCUGUAAAUAAUUCAUUAUUAUUGCUAGCACAAGAAGAAAACUUUAAUCCUAUAAUCUCGUUCUCUAUAUGGAUCACCGUUGGAGGCUAAACAAUUAGACUAGUUGUGGGAGACAGAUCAAGGUUGCUGAAACAAAGAAAAAGCAAAGGGAUUUGCAAAUCUAGAAAAUGUAUCACUUUUGUCACAAUUUCUAUUUAAACACAAAGAGAUCCAUGGUGGGAAUCGAAAAUUGUUUUAAUUUUUCGCUGCGCGUUUAAGUAGAUUUCCAACACGAUUCAGGUUUAGUCUUCCUUUUAGGACGAAGAGAGCUUUCUUAUCAAAGUUGUUCUCAAGAUAGAUCAUAACAUCAGUUAAACGGGCUAAGUAGAUCUUAAACAUUUCACCAACUCCAUGCCUCAUGUCUUAGAGGCCAACUAGGGUCUCUCCUUCCCUCUUAUAAAGGAUUAGACGGAAGGCUCUACACUUCGAUGCUGGAGAGGCUCUUCUCAACCCUUUCUGGAUCUUAUAGGUAUUGAGGUGUUCCUCUAGGUCGCUUCCCCCUUCGUACGUUGGCAUCUUAGGGAGUAUGUAUUGGUCCGAAAGGUUGGCAUUCCCUAGCUCCUAGGAGAAUGGAAGAUUGUUAUCAUCAUCAUCAAGCUAAAAGGACCUCCAUGAUCCAUCCUCAUUCUCCUCAUCAGCUUUAUAACAAGGCAGUUGAAAGUUCACAGUUUAUUGUGGAGGGGUGUUUCAUAACCUAUUUUUGGUACAUCGAUGCCUAACUUGUUGAAGAUGCUGGCAAAUUUUCAGGUCUAUGCUCAAUUGGGCACUUAACUUUCAACUAAAUUUCAAUUGGUCACUUAUCUUCAAAGCAUUUCAAUUUAAUCACUCAACUUACAUUUAGUUUCAGUUUGGUCACUCCAUUCCGAAGAGAUUCUUGCCAAGAUCAUUAAUCUCGGUUCAGCGUAUGCCCGGGCAUUGAUUGAGGACACUGACUUUUAACAUAAAAUUAUGUAAUGUAAGUUUGUCAUCAUCCAUGUGAUUUUCCCUGAAUUUAAUUAAUGGUUGUUAGCAGAGUGAUUUUAGCAGUGUCAUACUGUUAGGGAUGAAUUGGUUGACAGAUCCAAGAGCUAACAUACAUCUAGGCAACCGGCGCAUUUUCAAAUUCAAAAUAAGAACGGAGAACUAGACUGAUUUAGUUCAAUUAUUAAGAAACCAAAAAUAAUUUACUUUUACGUAAAACUGAACCAGACCGGUCAGUUUGGUAGUUCCACGGGUUCUGAGUAAUUUUAUCCACCCAUAAUCUGAAACCCCUGUAACCGCUCAGGAAUAUGACAGUUUCUAUUAUGCUGCCCUAAUAAGAAAGAACACUAACCCCACUAUGAUAGAGAGAACCACAACCAAAACAGCUACCAUUGGGUUUAAAUCAGAUGAUUUAGCAGAUUUUCUGUGUGUACUCCCUUCAUUUCUCUUUGAGACUGAAUUAUCUGAUUUAGCUGCUGAAGAGUCAUGAGCUGCAAUGUCCCAAAAGGAUUUGGUGGUCGAAGUUAUCAAAGGGGGGGCUUCAUAUUCUGGCUCCAAAAUUUCUGAAGCAUCUGUUGGUGCUUCCAUGGACAUCAGGUCAACACAAUUAUCUUUCACAACCUGACAAUGAUAAUAGUAAGAGGUAAGCUACAUCUCUUCAGAUUACCACAUACGUCCCAAGUACGUGAUCAACAGGAUAGCCACAAUAAAUUAGGCAGGUUCGAACAGAUUAAAAACUGGUCAGAAUCAACAACUUCGCUAAAUGCCAAUAGAUUUGCUAUCUUAGCAACUGUAAUAAAACCAUUUAUAAUCAUCUAUGCCUGUUAAGAGUGUAAAAUAUAUCAAAGGUCCAUGAGAUAUCAUAUGCUCCAGUGGACUAAGCAAAAAAAUUACUUAUAUUCAUAAAAGUCGCAAUAACAAACCUCAACUGUCUCGGAGGGCUUUAUGUAGUCACAAAUGUAUGUACCCUCUAGCCAAGGAAUGAACACUCUUCGAGGAAAUGAAAUGUUGUAUUGUUUUCUGUUCAGGAAAUGAUAAUCAACAGUUCAAGUCAGAUCAAAUAGCCCAAUAGCUACCUCCAAGUAAAAGAUAUAACAGCAUACAUUAGGGAGACAAGUGUUAGAUUGAGCUCCCUACUCAAUCCGAGAACAAAUUAUAAAUGAAAUUAAUUUUUUUAUUUCAGUGAUUUGAAUGUAAAAUGUUUAGGCUCGAAAUGAAAAAAAUUUAUAGAUGAAUAGAAGAUUUCCAAGUUCAAAAUAAUAAGAUGGUAAGACUCUAAUAGGGAGGAAAACAAUUCUUUUAGAGGGCUAUAAGCUAUCAUCCCAAUUUUGGCUGCUUUAAACAACCAAAAAUGACUUGAAAAUUUUCUGAGGGCCAAGUUCGGGAGAAUUUCUAGAAACGUUUUUCGUAACUACCAAAACUACUUUAAAAAACCUUCUAAAAAUUACUUUCAGAAAUUUUUCAAGAGACUACUAUGGUACUACCUGAGAGGCUUAAAAAACAUUCUUUGUGGAUUUUUUUUUUUUUUUUAAUCCAAUAUUCCACACUGAUGAUUCUAUUAGCAUGGGCUGAUUUGGCAGUGAACUCUACUAGGCUGUAGCCCCCCCAAAGUCCAGGUCCAAGAAAAUAAAACAAAUUUAUGAAAAAUGGUUUUAAAUUUAGUGUAUAGCCCACCAACAAUGAAUACCACUUGGCAAGAAAACUAAUUAUUUGUUUUAAGUGAAAAUUACCCUCACAUAAUCCCUUUUAAUAAAAUAUUCAGUUAUUACUAAUUCAAAUUUUUAUUUCAAAUACUACUGCAUUUGGUUUAGUAAAAAUGAUAAGUGAAGAAUGUAUUCACUCCUAAAUUAUGUUUAAUUAAUAAGGCGGUCAUUACGUUCACAAAAUGGACCUAUCUGGGGAAAAAACCACGUAUUACCCAAUUCAGAAGUCAUAUUCAAUAUUAUACCAAAAUCUUGGAAUCAUCCUCCCAUCAAUUUUGGUCGUAUUGGUCGUAAUCCCUAUUUCACUCCCAUUCAAGUCGAUCUGCAGAAUUUAUGAAAAGCAAAACUCUAAAAAUCAUCAAUUGAUCUCGCAGAAUCAUCUUCUUCAUGUAUCAAGAUUUUGUUCAAUCCUUAUUCAUCGUAUUCAUUCAAUUUUUACAAACGGUAAGUUCAAUCCUUAGUGUUUCACUACAAUAUAAAACUAUUACCGCAACCAAUAAUGUCCACCCCAAAUCGCCUUGCACCAAUGGGAGUACAAUAGUCUGGAGAAUAUUAAGCUUUUACAUUGAACCCUCAAUUUGCUUACCACUCUAUGACUACACCCCAAACAUUAAUUGUUUCAUAUUUGGCCUAGUUAGACACAACCACAAUUUUGUUGCAACUUGUCUCUAUUUUGAAUUUUAUCUAUACAUGCUGAAGAUGUUUUGGUUUUUUGUGCAUCAGAACAACCGUGUUAUCUUUCUUUUCAAAGAGUGAUUAAUCUAAGGAUACAAACGGAUAGCUAAUGUUAUAUCACAAUUUGAUAUAUCAUACAUUAAAUUUUUACGAUUUCUUUAACACCCCCCACCCCCCCGGUAACGUUGAUUCCUGACUCCGCCCCUGUCUAUUAGGAAAUGAUAUAGCAUGUAAUGAACAAAGAAAGAAUGAAAUAAAAAUAAAGGAACAACGUCAACAUCGCAUCUAAUAAAACGUGCAAAUUUUAUCUGAUUUGAGAAACAAAUGUACACGCAACCCUAAGAGGCUCACGCUCAAUAAACUUACACUAGACAUGGUUUGUAAAGCAUAAAAUUCCUGAUAAUACAAGCAACAAAUGCAGGGGAUCUGAUAUAAGCACAUUCCUUAGUAUUUCGUUUUUUUCUUGUGUUUCUCUUUGUUUUUGGUUUAGAAACAUUCUACAUGUAGCAUGAGAAUGUGAAGAGAUAUUUUAGUUAAUUCAGCACGAGUUAAUUGAAAAACGGAUUAACAAUAAGAUUCAUUAGAAACAAGCAAGGGUAGCCAGUAGUAGAAAUAUGAGGAAUAGUAUAUACAACUAUGGACAUCUCAGCAAUUAAAUGACAUCAAACCUGUUACUAACUAAUUUAGUGAUUAUGGAACAAGAGUAAGAACCUCUGUACUUUGUAAGACAAAAUGUAUAGCUAAGCCGGAAAUAUGAUACCUCUGUGCUCCAAGGUUAAGCUGGGGAACUGGUUUCUCUAUUGAUAUCUGAUUUCUUGAGUCCUUGCCACCGUCAGCGAUUGAUUCUGAUUCUCUGUCAGCCUCAUCACACAGCAUUUCCACUCUACUCAGCAAACUCAUUAUGAUGUCUUCCUAAUCAGAAGAGUACCCAAGAUCAUAAAGUUGAAGAGAGAUGAGCACAAGUAAUCAACCAGUAGGGAAAAAAAAAAAAGAUAACUUCCUUUAAGGGUUCGCAGAAUCAAAUAUAUAGGAAGCCGCAAGCUCUUUUCAUUGUUUAAUUGUUAGCGUGUUAAGGAGUUAGGUGUUUAUUAGGUAGAUAGCAAAUAAGUGGCAUAGCUCACUAUAAAUAGGGUGGUGGGAGUUAUAUCUUCAUUUCAGCAAAAAUUAGGGAAUGGGUUGGGGAGAGUGAUGCCUCUUGAAUGUUCGACAACACAUUGUAUUUCGUUAGUUCGGAAUUCAAUUCCAUUUCCAGAAUCAGUUCUUGGAAUUAGAGUUGAACUCUAAUUUUGUUAUUUAAUUAAAAUUUAAUUUUGAUUAAAUUCGACCGCUUCAAAUUUUGAAAUUAGAGUUAGACUCUAGUUUGAUAUUUAAUUAAAUUUUGAUUUUAUUUAACAGUCUUGACCUAUAAUUGUGGAAUUUGAUUUGGACUCUAAUUCAGUAUUUAAUUAAAAUUUGAUUUUAAUUAAAUACGUUCACUAAUUAAAUUAAUUGAUUAAUAUGAUUAAUUAAUUAUUUAAUUGUUCCAAUCUAUUUGUUUAAAAGAGUUUAGAUGACCUUAAUUACUAGAAACUUGAAACGUGUUUGCAUAUAAUAUUAGAUGUUAUAUAGGCAUACAUUUAAGUGAUGAAUGUAUUAUUAGUGGACGAUUAUGGAUUCGACCAUGUGAAUGUGUUGAACGGUUAAUUUUAUUCUCGAUAUUUUAUGAGUCUGCGAGCUCUUAAUUGUUUUGGGCCGAGAGCUUGUUAUUAUCGUUAUUAUUAUGGGUCUGUGAGAUAUUAAUCAUUUUGGACCUAAGAGUCCAUUAUUGUUAUUGUUACUACGUGCUUGUGAGUCCAAUUUCAUUUAGGCUUACGUGUCAACUAGUAUAGGAUACAUAUUGCAACUGGACUAAUUGAAGAAACAAAAAGAGUAGAAGACCAUGGAGAUGGAGCAUUGAUAUUGAUUCAAUGCUAUACCCCCUAGGAAUUGACCAACUAAUUUUCCUUAUAGCUUGGGAAGACUAGAUAGUAAAAAUUCAUAAUCGUCCACAUUAUUAUUAUUAUAUUAUAUAUGUUUAUUUGCAUGUUUGAUGCAUAAUAAAUUAUGUAUAUGAUUAUAUCGAUAUUGAUGAGACAUUUGAAUGCAAAAACCACUCAACAAAAUAUUAAGUUAAUUUAUUAUUUACCUUCAAUCAUUAUAGCGAAAAAUCAGAGUCCCAAAUCGUCUUAACUUGUUGAGUACACUCAAGGCUGGUCUAUUAGGGAUAUAUCUGAUACUAUGAAAUAUUAAGAUAAAUUUUAGAGGCAUGUUAAACUAACACGUAAGAUGUGUGAAGACAAAGAGUUGUCAGUUUAAUGAUUUAGGAGUUGUAUGGAGAUACAAUUGAUAAUAAUAUCUAUCUAAAUGUUAUAUUAAGGUUUGUUGAGUACACUCAAUAUCUUGGUAUAACAAAUGGGAUCCGAGCCCACUGGGAGUCGAGUAUGGACUCCAUAAAUUUAUGUAAGAGGAUUAUAAAUUUGAAUUAAACAGUGUGAUCAUAAUUAAUUUAAUAAAAAUCCAUGUUAAAUUAAUUGAUGCAUUUUAUAUAUUAUUCUUUUUCUUUUCGUCAUUUAUGUUUAUUGAAUCGUGAGUAACCAUGUGUAGUUGAGUGGGAUACUGCAUGCCAACAACCAAAUUAAAUCUUCUUGAUUAGCACGGUAACUUGAAAAUUGUUCUCAGGCAUGAGAAAUUUCAGUGGUUACAUCCUUGAGUAGCCCUUUCCAAAGACAGCUGCUAAUGACUCGAUUAAGGAAGAUGUGACUAUUGUAAUAAACACAGUGAUGACGAUAGUAUUGUACACAUGUGAUGCUUGCAACUAUGUGACAUGAGUUACAAAAGCAACUUAAAGUAUAGAUGUUAACACGUAAUUCUUCAUUAUAAAGAGUUGUAUGAUAAUAAUCAUAUGUGAAAGGAUAUGAGACUUCCAAACAAUUAUACCGGUGCAAAAUGAUAGAGCAAUCUUCGAUCGGUGCUCAUGUACUUCAUUGUCAUUGAGAGGUUCAUGAACUACGAACUAAGUAUUGACUUAGCUCUGCAAUCUCUGUCAGAGAGUUAUUCAUACUAAUUAUGAAUUACGAUAUGAAUAAGUUCGAACGCACACCCAUUGAGUUGCUUAACAUGCUUAGGACUGUUAUGCCCAAUAUCAAAGUUAGAAGUGAGCAAACCAUUGAUUCAUCUAAGGGUAUUAAGAGGAACUCUAAAGGGGCUUUUGGGAAGCAUCCAAUAUGGCUGAAACGGUCAAAGCGAAUGACAAAUGCCAAGUCUAAUAACCCUUUCUUUCAUUAUAGAAUGAAAGGUCAUUGGAAGAAAUAUUGCAAGGCUUACGUCUACUUCAUGAGUUUCUUAGGUAUUGGAUACCAAAUAUGGAUCUCAUAUUUAUACAAAUAUGGAGAAACUAAAUAGAAAUAGACCAUUGCAAGAGAGAGAAGUUAACAUACACGUUGAAAAUGAACAAAGAUUGCUGCAUUGCCUGUAGGAGCAUAUUUCUUGUCGUUGCCUUUUGGCUUAGUAUUGAAAUUAGAGAAAUGUUGCUUUAUAUCCACUAUAACUGGAACAUUAAAAUGAAUUUAAUAUUCAGACAUGAACUAUUUUAAUGUUAAGGACACUUGUUGUUCUUGCUUAAAAUCUUAAUGGUUAUCGUAAGCUACAAAAAUAAUAUUUAUAUUCUAAAUACUAAUCAUUUUGGGGUCAUGUACUGAUUGCAUUGUGCUGCACACUAAAUCAUGUCCCAUCUAAAUUAGUUAAUAGAACUUCAUACGAGCUAUGGAAAGGCAAUAGUCCUAAUUUAUCUCAUAUGAAAGUUUGGGACUGUGACGCUUAUGUGAAGUGCAUUAAAUCGGAGAAGUUUGAGACUAAAUCUGAUAAAUACAUAUUUGUGGGAUAUCCAAAAAGAUAUUUGGAUAUAAAUUCUAUUAAUCCAUUGAGAUGAAAAUUUUCGUCUCACGAUAUAUCAUCCUCCUAGAGAAAAUGUUUACUUUAGGACAGUGAGAGCAAAAUAGAACGUAAAAGAGUUCAAGAAUCCACAGAUAUAGUUAACCAAGUAAAUGAAUCCGAGUUUGAUCCCAUAUCUGAUGUGGAAUAUACUCUUGAUCAGAAAGUAGAGACUCCUUACAUGUCAACUUUGUGUGAAUCUAGUAGGAUCAUUCAACCUUCAAGAAGGUGUGAAUCCAUGAUUACUAAUCAGGCAUUGUUGAUCCAGGAUGAUGAACCUACUAAUUGCACAAAAAAAUAAAGUCAAGUGUUGACUUAAAAGAAAUAACAAGAGGUCAUGAAAUCCGAGAUGAACUCGAUAUAUGUAAACAAAGUUUGGACCUGGAACAACCCUCCUGAUGGGAUAAACCUAUCGGUUUAAAUGGUUUACAAUAAAAGGUUAACAUGAAUGGGAAUAUCCAUACAUACAAAACAACGCUAGUAGCAAAAGGUAACAAAUAAAGACAAUGUGUUGACCUUGACGAAACAUUUCUCCUAUAGUCAUGCUAAAGUUCAUUCGAAUUUUGAUUGCAUUAGUUGCAUAUCGUGACUAUGGGUUAAAACAAGUAUCUUGGAGCUGAAAUCUUCGAUUUGAUAGAAAAAUCAAAAUGUUUGAUUUUAUCAAAUAUGAAGAUGAAUUGUGUGUUUACAAGAAGAUAGUGGGAGCAUUGUUGCAUUCCUAAUAUUAUAAGAAACUACAUCCCCAUGUGUUCAAUCGUUGAAAUAAUGAUUGUUAAUGGAUAUAUUCAUGAAUAUGGGAGAAGCAACUUGAUCUAUAGAGAUAGGUCUAGAAGAUUGCUUUGUUCAUCCCAAUCUAUAUAGAUAAAAUCUUGAGAAAUUUUAUAUGAAGAAAUUGAUUUACUCUUUAACGGUGUGUUGGAAAGGUUCCAAACAUGAAACAAUUGUUGAUUCAAUAACAAUAACCUAAUACACGAUUGCUUCAAAAGCAUCAAGAAGUUGCAAUAUGGAUCAAGAUGUUCAUUAAUGAACUUGGUGUAGUUCCUAACAUUGUUGAUCACAUCCAAUAGUAUUUUGAUAACAAUAGAACCAUGGCACAAGCGAAGGAACUAAGGUAUCAUCUCAACGAAGAGAUAAUACAAAUAAAUGACCUAAAGAAUAAACAAAUUCUCACAAUUGACAAUAGUGCAGAUCCACUGACAAAGAGUUUUCGCAGCAUAAACAUGAUCGUCAUGUAAACUCUUAUGAUAUUGGAUACAUAAGUGAUCUAGUGUAAGUGGGAGUUUGUAAGUGUUAUGCCCUAAAUUCAAUCAACCUUGGACAUAAAUACUUUUAAUUAUAAUUGAUGCAAUUUUAUGGCAGAUCUAUUAUUUAAUUAUUAUUCAAUUAAAUUAAAUAAUAGUGUCCAUAGAUUCAAAUAAUAGUGUCACAAGAAGUUGUGAUUAUGAGAUACAAAUUACAUAUGAUUGAAUCUCAAAUCAUUGGUGAUCGUAAGUUAUGAUGAGAUACGGAUAUCGUUAUUACGAUUAGACCAUCACAUGUGACAUUUCUUAGUUGUGAAGUAAGUGGCUGAUCUUACAAACUAAAGUGUAGUGACACUUAAGUGAACACGUUGAUGUUUUGUUAUAGAAUAAAACAUUAAAGACCCGCUGAGAGAUUUCACGUGGAUAACUAUUUAAGUGUCAGUGGUCAAUCUCUAACUUUCGGUAGUGGGAUUGGUCCUUUAACAUGAGGUCGUUAUAGUACCUUAUAUGAGGACAGUCAUGCUUUAACGGUGUUGGAUGUUGUUCUGCUAAAGGCCGCUAAUACGGCAUCGUUCGGGUAUGUCAAGAAUCGUAUGAAGGUUGUAAAUAACCAAUAGAGAAUUCGUCACUCUUAGAUAAUAAGAAAUUAUGAUCUACAUUUCAUUCAAUUAAGUCGAUAACGAAAUCCUUGGUCAAUGUGUACUCACAAGUCGAAAAGGAGUUUUCAACUUAUAUUGACUUAAUAGUGGAGUGAAAGAUAUGAUUGAUAAUCGAUCUUGACACACUUCCAUAUCUCGUAAUUGAUCGGAUCAUAUUGACAAAGGAAUUAUAAUUUCACAGUAAACGAACGAGUUUGAUUUUGUUAUAUCACGUGAUAUUUCUCAUCACAUAUAUUGCCCUGACACACUGCUAGAUGUCAAUCUGGGACGGCGAGUGUGAAUUGGUGAUAAAUAAAAAGUGUGUUUUAAUUUAUCAAUUUUGAUUAGAUCAAAAUAAUAUUCCACGUCGUUAGACAUUGUGAUUGAGAACCUGAUGAGUCGUACACAAACGAAGAACUGGAAGAUUGAUUUGUCAAUUAAUUAAUUUAACAAGAGUUGGUUAUAUUAGUUAAUUGAGUUACUUAUUUAUAGGCCUGAAUUAAUUAAUUUGAUUAAUUAAUUCACGGAUCGAAUUUAAUUAAAUGAGUUAAUUAAAUAUUGGACCAAGUCAUGCCAAGCCCGUUCGAGCUUAUAUAAAUAUGAUUAGAAUUUUCAAAAUCUGUAAAUAAUUCAUUAUUAUUGCUAGCACAAGAAGAAAACUUUAAUCCUAUAAUCUCGUUCUCUAUAUGGAUCACCGUUGGAGGCUAAACAAUUAGACUAGUUGUGGGAGACAGAUCAAGGUUGCUGAAACAAAGAAAAAGCAAAGGGAUUUGCAAAUCUAGAAAAUGUAUCACUUUUGUCACAAUUUCUAUUUAAACACAAAGAGAUCCAUGGUGGGAAUCGAAAAUUGUUUUAAUUUUUCGCUGCGCGUUUAAGUAGAUUUCCAACACGAUUCAGGUUUAGUCUUCCUUUUAGGACGAAGAGAGCUUUCUUAUCAAAGUUGUUCUCAAGAUAGAUCAUAACAUCAGUUAAACGGGCUAAGUAGAUCUUAAACAUUUCACCAACUCCAUGCCUCAUGUCUUAGAGGCCAACUAGGGUCUCUCCUUCCCUCUUAUAAAGGAUUAGACGGAAGGCUCUACACUUCGAUGCUGGAGAGGCUCUUCUCAACCCUUUCUGGAUCUUAUAGGUAUUGAGGUGUUCCUCUAGGUCGCUUCCCCCUUCGUACGUUGGCAUCUUAGGGAGUAUGUAUUGGUCCGAAAGGUUGGCAUUCCCUAGCUCCUAGGAGAAUGGAAGAUUGUUAUCAUCAUCAUCAAGCUAAAAGGACCUCCAUGAUCCAUCCUCAUUCUCCUCAUCAGCUUUAUAACAAGGCAGUUGAAAGUUCACAGUUUAUUGUGGAGGGGUGUUUCAUAACCUAUUUUUGGUACAUCGAUGCCUAACUUGUUGAAGAUGCUGGCAAAUUUUCAGGUCUAUGCUCAAUUGGGCACUUAACUUUCAACUAAAUUUCAAUUGGUCACUUAUCUUCAAAGCAUUUCAAUUUAAUCACUCAACUUACAUUUAGUUUCAGUUUGGUCACUCCAUUCCGAAGAGAUUCUUGCCAAGAUCAUUAAUCUCGGUUCAGCGUAUGCCCGGGCAUUGAUUGAGGACACUGACUUUUAACAUAAAAUUAUGUAAUGUAAGUUUGUCAUCAUCCAUGUGAUUUUCCCUGAAUUUAAUUAAUGGUUGUUAGCAGAGUGAUUUUAGCAGUGUCAUACUGUUAGGGAUGAAUUGGUUGACAGAUCCAAGAGCUAACAUACAUCUAGGCAACCGGCGCAUUUUCAAAUUCAAAAUAAGAACGGAGAACUAGACUGAUUUAGUUCAAUUAUUAAGAAACCAAAAAUAAUUUACUUUUACGUAAAACUGAACCAGACCGGUCAGUUUGGUAGUUCCACGGGUUCUGAGUAAUUUUAUCCACCCAUAAUCUGAAACCCCUGUAACCGCUCAGGAAUAUGACAGUUUCUAUUAUGCUGCCCUAAUAAGAAAGAACACUAACCCCACUAUGAUAGAGAGAACCACAACCAAAACAGCUACCAUUGGGUUUAAAUCAGAUGAUUUAGCAGAUUUUCUGUGUGUACUCCCUUCAUUUCUCUUUGAGACUGAAUUAUCUGAUUUAGCUGCUGAAGAGUCAUGAGCUGCAAUGUCCCAAAAGGAUUUGGUGGUCGAAGUUAUCAAAGGGGGGGCUUCAUAUUCUGGCUCCAAAAUUUCUGAAGCAUCUGUUGGUGCUUCCAUGGACAUCAGGUCAACACAAUUAUCUUUCACAACCUGACAAUGAUAAUAGUAAGAGGUAAGCUACAUCUCUUCAGAUUACCACAUACGUCCCAAGUACGUGAUCAACAGGAUAGCCACAAUAAAUUAGGCAGGUUCGAACAGAUUAAAAACUGGUCAGAAUCAACAACUUCGCUAAAUGCCAAUAGAUUUGCUAUCUUAGCAACUGUAAUAAAACCAUUUAUAAUCAUCUAUGCCUGUUAAGAGUGUAAAAUAUAUCAAAGGUCCAUGAGAUAUCAUAUGCUCCAGUGGACUAAGCAAAAAAAUUACUUAUAUUCAUAAAAGUCGCAAUAACAAACCUCAACUGUCUCGGAGGGCUUUAUGUAGUCACAAAUGUAUGUACCCUCUAGCCAAGGAAUGAACACUCUUCGAGGAAAUGAAAUGUUGUAUUGUUUUCUGUUCAGGAAAUGAUAAUCAACAGUUCAAGUCAGAUCAAAUAGCCCAAUAGCUACCUCCAAGUAAAAGAUAUAACAGCAUACAUUAGGGAGACAAGUGUUAGAUUGAGCUCCCUACUCAAUCCGAGAACAAAUUAUAAAUGAAAUUAAUUUUUUUAUUUCAGUGAUUUGAAUGUAAAAUGUUUAGGCUCGAAAUGAAAAAAAUUUAUAGAUGAAUAGAAGAUUUCCAAGUUCAAAAUAAUAAGAUGGUAAGACUCUAAUAGGGAGGAAAACAAUUCUUUUAGAGGGCUAUAAGCUAUCAUCCCAAUUUUGGCUGCUUUAAACAACCAAAAAUGACUUGAAAAUUUUCUGAGGGCCAAGUUCGGGAGAAUUUCUAGAAACGUUUUUCGUAACUACCAAAACUACUUUAAAAAACCUUCUAAAAAUUACUUUCAGAAAUUUUUCAAGAGACUACUAUGGUACUACCUGAGAGGCUUAAAAAACAUUCUUUGUGGAUUUUUUUUUUUUUUUUUAAUCCAAUAUUCCACACUGAUGAUUCUAUUAGCAUGGGCUGAUUUGGCAGUGAACUCUACUAGGCUGUAGCCCCCCCAAAGUCCAGGUCCAAGAAAAUAAAACAAAUUUAUGAAAAAUGGUUUUAAAUUUAGUGUAUAGCCCACCAACAAUGAAUACCACUUGGCAAGAAAACUAAUUAUUUGUUUUAAGUGAAAAUUACCCUCACAUAAUCCCUUUUAAUAAAAUAUUCAGUUAUUACUAAUUCAAAUUUUUAUUUCAAAUACUACUGCAUUUGGUUUAGUAAAAAUGAUAAGUGAAGAAUGUAUUCACUCCUAAAUUAUGUUUAAUUAAUAAGGCGGUCAUUACGUUCACAAAAUGGACCUAUCUGGGGAAAAAACCACGUAUUACCCAAUUCAGAAGUCAUAUUCAAUAUUAUACCAAAAUCUUGGAAUCAUCCUCCCAUCAAUUUUGGUCGUAUUGGUCGUAAUCCCUAUUUCACUCCCAUUCAAGUCGAUCUGCAGAAUUUAUGAAAAGCAAAACUCUAAAAAUCAUCAAUUGAUCUCGCAGAAUCAUCUUCUUCAUGUAUCAAGAUUUUGUUCAAUCCUUAUUCAUCGUAUUCAUUCAAUUUUUACAAACGGUAAGUUCAAUCCUUAGUGUUUCACUACAAUAUAAAACUAUUACCGCAACCAAUAAUGUCCACCCCAAAUCGCCUUGCACCAAUGGGAGUACAAUAGUCUGGAGAAUAUUAAGCUUUUACAUUGAACCCUCAAUUUGCUUACCACUCUAUGACUACACCCCAAACAUUAAUUGUUUCAUAUUUGGCCUAGUUAGACACAACCACAAUUUUGUUGCAACUUGUCUCUAUUUUGAAUUUUAUCUAUACAUGCUGAAGAUGUUUUGGUUUUUUGUGCAUCAGAACAACCGUGUUAUCUUUCUUUUCAAAGAGUGAUUAAUCUAAGGAUACAAACGGAUAGCUAAUGUUAUAUCACAAUUUGAUAUAUCAUACAUUAAAUUUUUACGAUUUCUUUAACACCCCCCACCCCCCCGGUAACGUUGAUUCCUGACUCCGCCCCUGUCUAUUAGGAAAUGAUAUAGCAUGUAAUGAACAAAGAAAGAAUGAAAUAAAAAUAAAGGAACAACGUCAACAUCGCAUCUAAUAAAACGUGCAAAUUUUAUCUGAUUUGAGAAACAAAUGUACACGCAACCCUAAGAGGCUCACGCUCAAUAAACUUACACUAGACAUGGUUUGUAAAGCAUAAAAUUCCUGAUAAUACAAGCAACAAAUGCAGGGGAUCUGAUAUAAGCACAUUCCUUAGUAUUUCGUUUUUUUCUUGUGUUUCUCUUUGUUUUUGGUUUAGAAACAUUCUACAUGUAGCAUGAGAAUGUGAAGAGAUAUUUUAGUUAAUUCAGCACGAGUUAAUUGAAAAACGGAUUAACAAUAAGAUUCAUUAGAAACAAGCAAGGGUAGCCAGUAGUAGAAAUAUGAGGAAUAGUAUAUACAACUAUGGACAUCUCAGCAAUUAAAUGACAUCAAACCUGUUACUAACUAAUUUAGUGAUUAUGGAACAAGAGUAAGAACCUCUGUACUUUGUAAGACAAAAUGUAUAGCUAAGCCGGAAAUAUGAUACCUCUGUGCUCCAAGGUUAAGCUGGGGAACUGGUUUCUCUAUUGAUAUCUGAUUUCUUGAGUCCUUGCCACCGUCAGCGAUUGAUUCUGAUUCUCUGUCAGCCUCAUCACACAGCAUUUCCACUCUACUCAGCAAACUCAUUAUGAUGUCUUCCUAAUCAGAAGAGUACCCAAGAUCAUAAAGUUGAAGAGAGAUGAGCACAAGUAAUCAACCAGUAGGGAAAAAAAAAAAAGAUAACUUCCUUUAAGGGUUCGCAGAAUCAAAUAUAUAGGAAGCCGCAAGCUCUUUUCAUUGUUUAAUUGUUAGCGUGUUAAGGAGUUAGGUGUUUAUUAGGUAGAUAGCAAAUAAGUGGCAUAGCUCACUAUAAAUAGGGUGGUGGGAGUUAUAUCUUCAUUUCAGCAAAAAUUAGGGAAUGGGUUGGGGAGAGUGAUGCCUCUUGAAUGUUCGACAACACAUUGUAUUUCGUUAGUUCGGAAUUCAAUUCCAUUUCCAGAAUCAGUUUCAUUUCAUACAUUGAUAAAACACAAAGUUCACCUUGUGCCAUAAGUACAAAUUAGUACACACCCUUACAAACCCUGCUCUUUCGUUUUCCUUCUCCUCAAUCAACUGACAAUUUGCCAAUUGAUCCUUGAACCUAUCAUUUGAUAUCAGAGAACACCUAGGAACAUACAGGUGCAAAGAAAAUGACAGAAGAUCGGUCGGAAAUUUGGAACUGCCAGGAGAAGAGCAUGAAUCCGAUAAUGGAGAUGAUUGAAUCUAUGUAGCAAAAGCUUGCCAAUGGGAGGAACCGCAAAACAGAUCCAAUGGAGAAGGAGAAGGGGCUGGACCUUCUGCCUGAAUUUUACUAUAAGACCCCCAAAUCUUUUAUAGUCAUUAAUUAUGAAAAUUAGGACCUUAGUGUAAAAGUAUGAAAGUUAUAUAUGUAUAUUAUUAUAUAUAUUUAUGACUGAUUAAUUUAAAUUAUGUGAUUACUAUAAUUACGUGUGUCUAUAUAUGUAUAUAAUAAUAUAUAUGUGUAUAUAUAUUGGUAUUAUCACACAUAAAUCAUACCCACAUACACAUACAAACUUAUCGCAAUGCUAAAAAAAUUAAAUCCUCCUCUACAUAUUUACUACGAUUCUCUUCAAAUUAUCAAAGUAUAGUCAUACAUUAUAUGUUGAAUUACUUUUCAUACAUUAAAAUAUGAAAUUUGAUUUAUAAAUAUGAUAUAGGUCCUAUAUGUGUAAGUUCAAGGGACCGGAGUUCGGUAGCGCUACGCAUGAAAAUUAUAGCAACGAAGUACAGUUCUUAAUUUCGAUGUCUCCAUAUAUAUGUUAUGAUUAUGAACGGGGAUUUUGGUCACCUAAUUCCGGUUUCUAAUCUUCCAAUCUUCUUAUAUACGUUAAGAAUUCCUAUAAUUUAAUAUGAAUUGUGAUUUAUGUGGCUCACUUAUUGGGAUUUUAUCUUAUUGGUUAUGAUUUUCCUAAUUUUAGGUAAUUAACGUUCGAGGUGUUGGAGUUUAGAAUUGGCACUAGUGGAAUAAUAAAGAUAUUAUUGAACAAUUUAUUAUUUUACUUUAAUGAUUUAGUAAUUCUUUUUCAAUUAUUGUAAUUGGACAAAAGUUAUAGUUUUAUGAAAGUCAAGUUUUUUAUGAUAUGGUUUAAUAAUUCAAAGGGUAAAUUUUGGGUCUUUGCAACAUGGUAUCAGAGUGGGUCUACAUUUCUGUACUCUUCUUAAAAAAAUAAUUUUGUGAGUUACUGUUCAUAUUAAAAUUUUACAGAUCAAAAUAUGAUUACGUUAAGAUAUUUUGUUGGAAGAAGGCAAAUUUCAAGUUUCUUAGCCCACUACUAUGUGACACCAAGUUUCAAGCUUUGAUUUCCUCGAAUCAGGUACAGAAAUAUGACAACUCACAAUUAUUUAAUAUUAUGUGAAUACGUAUGAAUACACAUAAGAUUAUACUAGAACUAUGCUUAAUUAUGAAAUAUGCUUGGCUACUUAUAAUUUUCAUUUUUUAUGUGUGAUGUGGUGGCUACAUGAAGCUGGGCGCCGACAGAAAAUGGAGGUCAUGAUGUGAGAUAGAGGGAGAAGAUGACUAUAGAGUGUGGUUUGGGGGUGUUGGGCCGGACCAAUAUAUGGGCUAAUAUUAGUCCGCUGGAAGGGGGUUAAUGGGUUGAUAAUUGUGAGCUAAUGAGUUGAAGUGUAUUAGUUUGUAGGAUGGGUAGGUGGUUAGUUUAUGGUAUGUUUUUAGUGGGUGGGCUUUGGUAAUGUGCUGGACCUGAGGAAAGGCCAAAGAGAAGUCCUCAGGCCCAGAUUUUUAAGGGGCCCAAAAAUUUCCUUUUUUUUUUUUUUUUUAAUCCAUCAACGAAAUCAAAACUUUUAGCCUAGUCCCAGAAAUCAAAAUCUAGAGUACGAAACCAAAGCAAGAAAUCUCUUGAUUCUCAUUGUCACUCGCUCUUCAAUGUAAAAGCCAAGAAAUUUUAGCUAAUUUUUGCAGCUUCUUCUCUGUCCAGUCGGCAUUCGGAAUCAGAUAGAGACACCUAAGGUCGUUGUUGCUUUAUUUUAGGAUUUGUUUUCUCUCAUUUUUGAUCCGUAAGGUCAAUAUUGCUUUAUUUUAUAUCUAGUAUUAAAGAAUCAAGAUUUAAGAUUUCUCAUCACACUUGAUCUUAUCAAUAGAGUUUUACGAUUUAUGGGUGAUGUUAGGUUUUUUUCAUAACUAUUAAUGGAUUUAAUAUAUAUAUAAGCAAAGCAAUAGACUAAUAGCGGGAAGGAGGUUCUUGUUCUCGAGGCUUCUACAGGCAGAAGUUCAAGGUUCGAAAAUUGAUUGAUGAAUGAUGAAAAUUAGGUUACCGUAUUUAAAAAUUCAUAGAAAAUUUCGCAAAGGAAAAUUAAUGUGGACUAAACUCUUUAUGUCAAUUUCCAAUCCAAGUGGAUAACUUUAGCUAUGGAAUUUUGCAUUUACGUUGAUUUUAAGGGCUUAAUUUAUGGAUUUCGCCUCCGACCCCAACAAUCACAAGACCGGCCCUACGUGAAUCGGUAUGGUGUGUAGGUUUUGGAGUUACGUGGGUUUGGAGUAUUCGUGAACAGCAGUCUGGUUGGAUAUAUUGGGUUAGGGUUGCAGUGGAUUGUACAAGGAGACCUUUGAAGAACAGCAGCAUGUGUGAGCACCAGCAGUAACAAGACAACGACUAUUUUUUUUUUUUUUUUUUUUUNNNNNNNNNNNNNNNNNNNNNNNNNNNNNNNNNNNNNNNNNNNNNNNNNNNNNNNNNNNNNNNNNNNNNNNNNNNNNNNNNNNNNNNNNNNNNNNNNNNNNNNNNNNNNNNNNNNNNNNNNNNNNNNNNNNNNNNNNNNNNNNNNNNNNNNNNNNNNNNNNNNNNNNNNNNNNNNNNNNNNNNNNNNNNNNNNNNNNNNNNNNNNNNNNNNNNNNNNNNNNNNNNNNNNNNNNNNNNAAGGAUGAAGUUUUUUUUUUUUUUUUUUUUUUUUUUUGGGUGGCUACCAAAACAGAGGGAAAAAAACGAAUGCUGCUGUUGUUCAAAACCGAAGUUGGGUGGUUGGUGGCAUUUUUAUAAGUGAUGGGCAGCUGGUUUCAGUUUUAUGUUGGUUUAUGGUGGUCAGAGGAGGUUUUGUAAUUGGCAGUGGCUAGUUGAAGGUUGGGAAUCAAAUUUGUUGGUCAAAGGAAACAAUUUGAGAUUUAAUACCAAAUUGAUGUCGGAUGCUAUGGGAGAAUUAGAGGAGAAUGGGAAAUAAGAAAGUACUCGGAGAAGAGAGGAGGGAGAAGGGAAGAUAGAAAUUGGUGAGAGAAAUCAAAUUAUCUCAUAUCAUUCAAAGUUAUUCCAUUACAUUGCAAAAGUCCCUUUAUUUAGGGUUUCAAUUGUUCUAUUCUAGGAAAUAAAUAUGUAAUAAAAGCUAUUAAAUCAAAAUCAAACAUUGUUUCCUAAAAUACUCAUUAUAAUUGGAAACUAAAUAUCACAUUAUAAUAUUGCAUGACUGGUGCAGUGCAAAAUGGUCAAGUACAGUUUCAUUGGCUUGCUCAAAUUAAAUUGUGAUGCUACUGUUAGACGAGAGGAGGGACUGGUCAGUCUAGGAGCUGUGAUCAGGGAUGGUGGAGGAAAGGUUAUUGCAGCAGAGCCAAAGGUUGCGUGGGGGAUUUCUUUCUGGACGAUGCCAAAGCUUUAGGAUUGGGAGGGGGGAUCAGACAUAGCAUAAAGGGCUACAUUCCACAUUUCUACAGCUGAGAUUGAGCCCGUGUUUAGCCUCCAUUUCUUGAAACUAACUUUUUUCUAAAUCCAUUUUUAACAACAUAUUUCAUAGGACCCACAAUUUUUAUCAACUUUUCAACAAUAAAUUUACCAACUUUCAUCAAAAUCUAUUAAAAAUCUAAUUUUUAUCCAAACCAAACAGGGGCCAACUCUCUUCAACUGGUGC
rnacentral:lncRNA from 1 species